rnacentral:ncRNA from 1 species
GGGUGCGUGACUGCAUAGGGCACAACGCAGGUUAAAGCAAAGCAUUGGUCGGGCCGCCAAUG